rnacentral:rRNA from 1 species
UACGUAGGGGCCUAGCGUUGUCCGGAUUUAUUGGGCGUAAAGAGCGUGUAGGCGGUCUGGUAGGUCCGCUGUGAAAACUCGAGGCUCAACCUCGAGACGCCGGUGGAAACCAUCAGACUAGAGUCCGGAAGAGGAGAGCGGAAUUCCUGGUGUAGCGGUGAAAUGCGCAGAUAUCAGGAAGAACACCCGUGGCUAAGGCGGCUCUCUAGUACGGUACUGACGCUGAGACGCGAAAGCGUGGGGAGCGAACAGG